rnacentral:rRNA from 1 species
ACUCAAAGGAAUAGACGGGGGCCCGCACAAGCGGAGGAACAUGUGGUUUAAUUCGAUGAUACGCGAGGAACCUUACCUGGGCUUAAAUGUAGAGUGCAUGAGGUAGAAAUACUUCUUUCCUUCGGGACUCUUUGCAAGGUGCUGCAUGGUUGUCGUCAGCUCGUGCCGUGAGGUGUCGGGUUAAGUCCCAUAACGAGCGCAACCCUUAUCGUUAGUUGCCAGCGGGUAAUGCCGGGAACUCUAGCGAAACUGCCGGUGUAAACCGAGAGGAAGGUGGGGAUGACGUCAAAUCAGCACGGCCCUUAUGUCCAGGGCUACACACGUGUUACAAUGGCCGGUACAGAGGGCAGCUACCUGGAGACAGGAUGCGAAUCUCGAAAGCCGGUCUCAGUUCGGAUCGGAGUCUGCAACUCGACUCCGUGAAGCUGGAUUCGCUAGUAAUCGCGCAUCAGCCAUGGCGCGGUGAAUACGUUCCCGGGCCUUGUACACACCGCCCGU